rnacentral:rRNA from 1 species
AGCCUGGUGCCAGCAGCCGCGGUAAUUCCAGCACCAAUAGCGUAUAUUAAAGUUGUUGCAGUUAAAAAGCUCGUAGUUGGAUUUCGGGCGAGCCUCCCUGGUCUGCCUUACGGUGUGUACCGGUGGGGCGCGUCUUCCGCCUGGACCGCGCUCCCGCACUUCACUGUGUGGUUGCGUGAGCCAGGCCUUUUACUUUGAAAAAAUUAGAGUGUUCAAAGCAGGCUUUACGCGCAUGAAUACUUCAGCAUUGAAUAAUGGAAUAGGACUUCGGUUCUAUUUUGUUGGUUUCUAGGACCUGAAGUAAUGAUUAAUAGGGACAGUUGGGGGCAUUAGUAUUUAAUUGUCAGAGGUGAAAUUCUUGGAUUUAUGAAAGACUAACUUCUGCGAAAGCAUUUGCCAAGGAUGUUUUCAUUAAUCAAGAACGAAAGCUAGGGGAUCGAAGACGAUCAGAUACCGUCGUAGUCUUAACCAUAAACGAUGCCGACUAGGGAUCGGGGGAUGUUAUUUUUAUGACACCCUCGGCACCUUAUGAGAAAUCAAAGUUUUGGGGCUCUGGGGGGAGUAUGGUCACAGGGCUGAAACUUAAAGGAAUUGACGGAGGGGCACCACAAUGGCGUGGAGCCUGCGGCUUAAUUUGACCCAACACGGGAAAACUUUCCAGGUCAGGACAUGGUAAGGAUUGACAGAUUGAGAGCUCUUUCUUGAUUCCAUGGGUGGUGGUGCAUGGCCGUUCUUAGUUGGUGGAGUGAUUUGUCUGCUUAAUUGCGUUAACGAACGAGACCUUCACCUGCUAAAUAGCUACCCGCACCCCGGUGCGGGGCCAGCUUCUUAGAGGGACUCUGCCUGCUAAGGGCAGGGAAGCUGGAGGCAAUAACAGGUCCGUGAUGCCCUUAGAUGUCCUGGGCCGCACGCGCGCUACACUGACGUCGUCAACGAGUUUCACCCUUGGCCGAAGGGCCCGGGUAAUCUUUUCAAACGGCGUCGUGAUGGGAAUUGUCCUUUGCAAUUAUGGGACAUGAACGAGGAAUGCCUAGUAGGCGCUGGUCAUCAACCAGCACCGAUUACGUCCCUGCCCCUUGUACACACCGCCCGUCGCUCCUACCGAUUGAACGCUAAGGUGAAGACUGUGGACGGCCCGCGGGGGGGUCCGCCCGCCCGCGACGCUGAAAACAGUCUAAACCUUGACGUUUAGAGGAAGGAGAAGUCGUAACAAGGUU